rnacentral:rRNA from 1 species
UACGUAGGGUGCGAGCGUUAAUCGGAAUUACUGGGCGUAAAGCGUGCGCAGGCGGUUGGCAAAGUCAGCUGUGAAAGCCCCGGGCUCAACCUGGGAAUUGCGGUUGAAACUAGUCGACUAGAAUCUGGCAGAGGGGGGUGGAAUUCCACGUGUAGCAGUGGAAAUGCGUAGAGAUGUGGAGGAACACCGAUGGCGAAGGCAGCCCCCGG